rnacentral:rRNA from 1 species
UGGGGAAUUUUGCGCAAUGGGCGAAAGCCUGACGCAGCAACGCCGCGUGUGUGAUGAAGGUCUUCGGAUUGUAAAGCACUUUCGACCGGGACGAAACCGUAUUGGCUAACAUCCAAUGCUCUGACGGUACCGGGAGAAGAAGCACCGGCUAACUCUGUGCCAGCAGCCGCGGUAAUACAGAGGGUGCAAGCGUUGUUCGGAAUUAUUGGGCGUAAAGCGCGUGUAGGCGGCUUUGCAAGUCGGGUGUGAAAGCCCUCAGCUUAACUGAGGAAGUGCGCCCGAAACUGCAGAGCUUGAGUACCGGAGAGGAUGGUGGAAUUCCCCAAGUAGAGGUGAAAUUCGUAGAUAUGGGGAGGAACACCGGUGGCGAAGGCGACCAUCUGGACGGAUACUGACGCUGAGACGCGAAAGCGUGGGGAGCAAACAGG